rnacentral:rRNA from 1 species
AUUGAACGCUGGCGGCAGGCCUAACACAUGCAAGUCGAACGAGUGGCGGACGGGUGAGUAAUGUCUGGGAAACUGCCUGAUGGAGGGGGAUAAAUACUGGAAAAGGUAGCUAAUACCGCAUACCAUCAGAUGUGCCCAGAUGGGAUUAGCUAGUGUGUGGGGUAACGGAUCACAAAGGCGACGCUCCCGAGCUGGUCUGAGAGGAUGACAAGCCACCAUGGCACUGAGACACGGUCACGACUCCUACGGUAGUCAGCAGUGGUGAAUAUUGCACAAUGGGCGCAAGCCUGAUGCAGCCAUGCCGCGUGUAUGAAGAAGGCCUUCGGGUUGUAAAGUACUUUCAGCGAGGAGGCGUUACCCGCAGAAGAAGCACCGGCUAACUCCGUGCCAGCAGCCGCGGUAAUUC